GCUCAGUUGGUAGAGCAUGGUGUUUGCAACACCAGGGUUGUGGGUUCGAUUCCCAC
rfam:Salmo salar isolate Sally breed double haploid chromosome ssa20, whole genome shotgun sequence.